rnacentral:rRNA from 1 species
ACACGGAAGGUGCAAGCGUUGUUCGGAAUUACUGGGCUUAAAGAGCGUGUAGGCGGGGUGGUAGGUGUCAUAGUGAAAUCCCUCGGCUCAACCGAGGAACUGCUUGGCAAACCCCCACUCUUGAGACAGGUAGAGGCGACUGGAACGUUCGGUGGAGCGGUGAAAUGCGUAGAGAUCGAACGGAACACCUGUGGCGAAAGCGAGUCGCUGGGCCUGUUCUGACGCUGAGACGCGAAAGCGUGGGUAGCAAACAGGAUUAGAAACCCCGGUAGUCC